rnacentral:tRNA from 1 species
GGAGAGAUAACCGAGUGGUUCAAGGCGUAGCAUUGGAAUUGCUAGGUAGACUUUUGUUUACCGAGGGUUCGAAUCCCAGUCUCUUUCCG